UGGAAAAAUGAAAGCUUCAUGAAUAUCCCCAGGGGCUGCUGCUACUCCAGGGAGCUGGUUCCACUUGUCUCCCAAGUUGUCAUCUGACUCAAGAGGGAAGCUCGCCCCACUUAUCUACUCCCUUCCUCCCGGCCAGACCUCCUGAGGGGCAGUCACUCUCGUGCUGCCCUUUCCUCUGGCUCCUGCUCAGAUCUCUCUGGGGAAAGCUGAUAAAGAACAGCAGAAAGAACUGCUUCGGAUGAAGAAGUGUGGCUUAGAAAGCUUUAGUAUCUCUGCCAGUAUCUCAAAGACAAUAAGACCAGAGUCAGGAGGGCCACUCAAGCCUGCUCCACAUGAAGACUCUUUCCUUUGUGCCUCUGAAGAAAGUGCCAACAUGGGGUUGAGAGGAAUCUCUCAAUUAUGAACAAACAUUGAGACAGGUUAAUAAGCAUGUGAAUUUUUCUUGUUUCCAUCAAUAAGAAGGUAAAAUAAAUGCGUGGAACACUUAAAUUCAGAGAAUGAAGAAAGAAAUUCAACUCAUAGAACAGGUAUCAGGUGUAGGCCCCUCAUGUCCCAAAGAUUAAGACAUUUGCCUUUUUGAUUUCAUCCUAUAAUGUAAGGGGAGAAGAAACAUUGUUGAUUUAAUGCAAACACCACAUUAUUCCCAAAGAGCAUUAGACAUUUAAAAAGAACAAGCAAUGUUUGAUAUAAUCAGCAUCAUUUAAAAAGAUGCAAUGAAGAAGGAUAUUAUCCGGAUUGUCCCUUCCUCUCCUCACUGAAAAAUGUCUCACAAGCUCCUUCCAAAUCACAGGCAACGGAAUAAAGAGCUUA